rnacentral:rRNA from 1 species
AGAGGGGGCAAGCGUUGUUCGGAAUUACUGGGCGUAAAGGGCGCGUAGGCGGCCUGUUAAGUCGAACGUGAAAUCCCCGGGCUCAACCCGGGAACUGCGUCCGAUACUGGCAGGCUUGAAUCCGGGAGAGGGAUGUGGAAUUCCAGGUGUAGCGGUGAAAUGCGUAGAUAUCUGGAGGAACACCGGUGGCGAAGGCGGCAUCCUGGACCGGUAUUGACGCUGAGGCGCGAAAGCCAGGGGAGCAAACGGGAUUAGAUACCCCGGUAGUCCUGGCCCUAAACGAUGAAUGCUUGGUGUGGCGGGUAUCGAUCCCUGCCGUGCCGAAGCUAACGUAUUAAGCAUUCCGCCUGGGGAGUACGGUCGCAAGGNNG